AAAUUGAAGAGUUUGAUCAUGGCUCAGAUUGAACGCUGGCGGCAGGCCUAACACAUGCAAGUCGAACGGUAACAGGAAGCAGCUUGCUGCUUUGCUGACGAGUGGCGGACGGGUGAGUAAUGUCUGGGAAACUGCCUGAUGGAGGGGGAUAACUACUGGAAACGGUGGCUAAUACCGCAUAACGUCGCAAGACCAAAGAGGGGGACCUUCGGGCCUCUUGCCAUCAGAUGUGCCCAGAUGGGAUUAGCUUGUUGGUGAGGUAACGGCUCACCAAGGCGACGAUCCCUAGCUGGUCUGAGAGGAUGACUAGCCACACUGGAACUGAGACACGGUCCAGACUCCUACGGGAGGCAGCAGUGGGGAAUAUUGCACAAUGGGCGCAAGCCUGAUGCAGCCAUGCCGCGUGUAUGAAGAAGGCCUUCGGGUUGUAAAGUA
rnacentral:rRNA from 1 species